rnacentral:rRNA from 1 species
UACAGAGGUCUCAAGCGUUGUUCGGAAUCACUGGGCGUAAAGGGUGCGUAGGCGGUUUCCUAAGUUUGAUGUGAAAUCCCGGGGCUUAACCCUGGAAUUGCAUUGAAUACUGGGAGACUAGAGUACUGGAGAGGAAACUGGAAUUUACGGUGUAGCAGUGAAAUGCGUAGAGAUCGUAAGGAAGACCAGUGGCGAAGGCGAGUUUCUGGACAGUUACCGACGCUGAGGCACGAAGGCCAGGGGAGCAAACGGG